rnacentral:rRNA from 1 species
CAGCAGUAGCCACGGGAAUACGAGGGGGGCAAGCGUUGUUCGGAAUUAUUGGGCGUAAAGGGUGCGUAGGCGGCUUGACAAGUCUUGUGUGAAAUCUAUGGGCUCAACCCAUAGUCUGCACGGGAAACUGUCGGGCUUGAGAAUGGGAGAGGUGAGUGGAAUUUCCGGUGUAGCGGUGAAAUGCGUAGAUAUCGGAAGGAACACCUGUGGCGAAAGCGGCUCACUGGACCAUUUCUGACGCUGAUGCACGAAAGCUAGGGGAGCAAACAGGAUUAGAUACCCCUGUAGUCCCUGUCUCUUAUAA